GUCGUAACAAGGUCUCCGUUGGUGAACCAGCGGAGGGAUCAUUACAGUGGUUUACACACAUCCUUUGUGAACUUUUUGUUGCCUUGGCGAAAGCCAGCAUACUCUUUUACUGUCUCUGAGUCUUCUAAAACAAAAUAAAAACUUUCAGCAACGGAUCUCUUGGCUCUAGCAUCGAUGAAGAACGCAGCGAAAUGCGAUAAGUAAUGCGAAUUGCAGAAUUCAGUGAGUCAUCGAAUCUUUGAACGCACAUUGCGCCUGCUAGAAAUCUAGCAGGCAUGCCUGUUUGAGCGUUAGUACGCCCCAGUUGGAGAAUGGUAUCCAUCUCUGAAAUACAGUGGCAGACGGACAAGGUGGUUUUGUGAAGUCAUAGCCCACACGGCAAUCCUGUCCCGGUGCCAGAACACUAUGAGUUAACCUCAAAUCAGGUAGGAAUACCCGCUGAACUUAAGCAUAUCAUA
rnacentral:rRNA from 1 species